rnacentral:rRNA from 1 species
UACGGAGGGUGCAAACGUUGCUCGGAAUUAUUGGGCGUAAAGAGCUCGUAGGCGGUUUGUUGCGUCGGCUGUGAAAUCCCGAGGCUCAACCUCGGGUCUGCAGUCGAUACGAGCAAACUAGAGUGUUGCAGGGGAGACUGGAAUUCCUGGUGUAGCGGUGAAAUGCGCAGAUAUCAGGAGGAACACCGGUGGCGAAGGCGGGUCUCUGGGCAACAACUGACGCUGAGGAGCGAAAGCGUGGGGAGCGAACAGG